UUCCCAACCCCACGGCCCCCCAAAAUUCCCUCAGCUCCACGAUCGCCCGCCCCAAUCUCUCCUCCACCACCCAUGACCGCCACAAAAUCCAAUGCCCUUUGCCAUCGCUCCCGUCUGGUUCCCUGUUGUGGCUUCGCUGCCUCAUCCGCCGCCCUCUGCCACGAUACCACCGUCUAUACCCUCACUCCGCUCGUCAAAGUCUCCCCGCCGUCGAAUUGUUGUUCCUCAUCAUCGUCGACGUAUCGAGAUCCCCGACCUCGCCGCGUCCUACACCAGCGCCAUCCAGUACUUGCAUCUCUGCCUCUGCGACCAGCGCACAGUCCUCGCCUCCGUCGAUCGCCGCCUCCAGCGGCGUGUUCGAAUUCCUGGUGAAACUAUUGCCGACUCCACGACGGAACUCCACCGCGAGCUGCGGAGAGGCGAUGUUGUCGAAUUGAGCUUGGCGGUUGGUGGCGGUUUCAAUUUUAGAGGAAAUUGAGAUUGCAAAAGUAGUUUGCAGGAAGCUUGAAGGUAUUUCCUAUUUAUUUCUGAUUCUGUAUGUAAUAGCAAAAACUACCAAUGAGAAGAAAGCUUCAUGCAGAAUAGUUUGCAGAAAGCUUGAAGGGAAAUUUCAGGAUCUGAAAAUUUUAAAGAAUCAGUUGUAUUCAGCAGCUGAAUCAAGAAGAAAUGAUUAUUGCAGAGCUAUAGCAUAAAUACAAGAAUUUCAUCGUGCAUAGUAUGGAACUAGGAGCUCCGCCUCCUGGACCUCCCUCGGAUAUAUAGCAAUCUAAAAUUGCACAAUAAUUGUGUAAGCAGAUGACCUCAAGUCAGAUGUUUUUGUCCAUGGCCGAAGAGUUUGAUAUGGGUGAUGUUCUCAUCGGUGGUAAACAGAGCAGUGACUAUUGCACCUAAGGAUGUUCAUCGUUUCCGAAUUCUGGGACUUCUCUUAUAGCCUGUCCAACGAUAUUUGCUAUGCUUUAGUAAUCAGACUAGUAGGGUGUUUGGCUAAGCCUAUUUAAAGAUGUUAGUAGAUUUAUGUUAAUGGAUCAUUUGUUGUAGACUGAUAGCCAUGAUCAACCAUGCCAUAGAAGUAUCUGGAUUGGUAAAUCAAGAAUGCAAGUUUGUGGUUCAAAAAUAUGGCUCAUCUAUUAUGGAUAUUAUCUUGAAAGAGUUGCAACCAGAUAAUAUAUGUGGCCAACUCGGGGUGUGCGCAGCCCAUGGAGCAAGGUUAGUGCUCGUCUUCAUAGAUAGUUGAGCUUAGAUAAUAAUUGAGGUUUGUGUAGAUGGAUAUCUGAUUUCCAGAUGCACAAAAGCUUUGCUCAAUGAUAAUUGGAAGGACUGAAGAGAGAAGAAGGUAGAGAUUUUAUCAGUCGAAGAAGCUGCAUAAUGUCCUAAUCUCGAUUUACUGUUUCUGAAGUUGUAAUUUACUUAUUGCGGGGGUGAGGGGUGUUUCACCUAAUCAUAUAUUGUAUAUGUGAAUGUUUAAAUUUAUAAACUAGAAAAUAAAAUUUGAUGUUUUUUUUGGAAA